rnacentral:rRNA from 1 species
GAUGAACGCUAGCUACAGGCUUAACACAUGCAAGUCGAGGGACCGGCGCACGGGUGAGUAACACGUACCCAACCUGCCCUUUACUCGGUGAUAGCCUUUCGAAAGAAAGAUUAAUACCCGAAAUCAAGGAUGGGGAUGCGUUACUUUAGGUUGUUGGUGAUGUAACGGCCCAGCAAGCCUUCGAUGGAUAGGGGUUCUGAGAGGAAGGUCCCCCGCAUUGGAAAUAAGACACGGUCCAAACUCCGACGGGAGGCAGGAGUAAGGAAGAUUGGUCAAUGGGCGUUAGCCUGAACCAGCCAAGUAGCGUGAAGGAUGAAGGGUUAUGGGUCGUAAACUUCUUGUAUAUAAGAAUAUGUAUUAUAUGAAUAAGGAUCGGCUAACUCCGUGCCAGCAGCCGCGGUAAUAC